UGGGGAAUCUUGCGCAAUGGGCGAAAGCCUGACGCAGCCAUGCCGCGUGAAUGAUGAAGGUCUUAGGAUUGUAAAAUUCUUUCACCGGGGACGAUAAUGACGGUACCCGGAGAAGAAGCCCCGGCUAACUUCGUGCCAGCAGCCGCGGUAAUACGAAGGGGGCUAGCGUUGCUCGGAAUUACUGGGCGUAAAGGGAGCGUAGGCGGAUAGUUUAGUCAGAGGUGAAAGCCCAGGGCUCAACCUUGGAAUUGCCCUUGAUACUGGCUAUCUUGAGUACGGAAGAGGUAUGUGGAACUCCGAGUGUAGAGGUGAAAUUCGUAGAUAUUCGGAAGAACACCAGUGGCGAAGGCGACAUACUGGUCCGUUACUGACGCUGAGGCUCGAAAGCGUGGGGAGCAAACAGGAUUAGAUACCCUUGUAGUCCCUGAGCGGGCUGGCAAGGCGCAU
rnacentral:rRNA from 1 species